rnacentral:rRNA from 1 species
AGUGAACGCUGGCGGUAGGCCUAACACAUGCAAGUCGAACGGCAGCACAGUAAGAGCUUGCUCUUACGGGUGGCGAGUGGCGGACGGGUGAGGAAUACAUCGGAAUCUACUUUUUCGUGGGGGAUAACGUAGGGAAACUUACGCUAAUACCGCAUACGACCUACGGGUGAAAGCAGGGGAUCUUCGGACCUUGCGCGAUUGAAUGAGCCGAUGUCGGAUUAGCUGGUUGGCGGGGUAAAGGCCCACCAAGGCGACGAUCCGUAGCUGGUCCGAGAGGAUGAUCAGCCACACUGGAACUGAGACACGGUCCAGACUCCUACGGGAGGCAGCAGUGGGGAAUAUUGGACAAUGGGCGCAAGCCUGAUCCAGCCAUACCGCGUGGGUGAAGAAGGCCUUCGGGUUGUAAAGCCCUUUUGUUGGGAAAGAAAAGCAGCAGGUUAAUACCCCGCUGUUCUGACGGUACCCAAAGAAUAAGCACCGGCUAACUUCGUG